GUCAAUACUGUCAUUUUUCUGAAUGGUUUGACUGAAUUUAAUUUGUCCCACGCAUUGUUCCCUGAGAAGCUCCGUCAGGAUUUAUUGCUCAUGGUUGAAAGGCCGGCGAUGGAAGGAAUGGGAAGAAAAGUUAAAAGUCAAGAUUUAAAAGGGGAGUCAUCCUCCCCUCCCUUUCCGCACAGCCCAUCUGUGGCAGGUGCAGGACCAGUGUCUGUGAGAGAAUGUCGGCCACAAUGCAGUCAUAACUCAUGGCAAAGCAAAAGAGGAAGAGCUGGAGGAUGAGACAGAGGCGGCAGAGGAAAACGGAGACAGGGGUAUACUGUAUAUACAGGGAGACAAUCAGGAAAAAAAGAAAAAGAGAGAGAAUGUAAGAGAGAGAGUGUGUGUGUGGUGGUGUGUGUGUGUGUGGGGGGGGGGUGAAGGGUGAUGUUUAUGGCACCUGAUGGUGAGAGUAAAUGUUAAGGCUGGUGUCACACUGUCAUUAACGUGCCUGUGAGAUGUCGUCGCCCGGGCAACGGCUUUGCAAGCUUUAAGCUGUAUAAAAUCUGUCCAGCCCUGGAAUGCCAUUGAGACCAGAUAUAUGUGCCGAUCCCAGUUGCCAUGGGGAGCCGGGAUUCUGAGGAAACCUUUCCAUGACUAAGGUUUUUUUUUUUUCUUUAUGGGUCUCUGUCUUCUUUUGGCCUGAAUGAUGUUACUCAUUGGGCAGUGGAUAAUCUCUGCCAUUCCUUCCCUCUCAAAUGAGAACCAUUUCCAGUGGGUGCAUGAUCUGAAGGGAAUCGUGUAUGAAUAUAUAUGUAUAACUGUGCUGGUGGUAAAUCCUGCAGCCCUUUGAGCAAUCCAACUGAAUAUGUGAGUCUCCUGUGAUGUUCACUUGGGGUCAUGCCCUCUUCUGAACUCCAGCACGCCUGCAGAUGUGCAGCGGAUAAUUGCAUCAUUUCCUAUUUUGUCAUCGCUGGUGAGAUGGCCUUUGCCACCAUAUGCACAUGCCUAGAGCUCCUCUUCUCUCCCAGCUGUUUUUGGUGGCAUCCUGUUUGAAGUCUGUUUAACAAGGUUUAUUUGUUAAACACAGGUCACCAAGUUGGCGCAUGAUCAGGGUUGAGAAGGUUACUUUUGAAAUGCAAUAGAUUACAGAU
ensembl:lncRNA